AUACAUGCAUAUUCACUCAAGACUGCUGGGUU
rnacentral:piRNA from 1 species